UACGUAGGCAGCAAGCGUUGUUCGGAAUUACUGGGCGUAAAGAGUGUGUAGGCGGUGCUCUAAGUUCGGUGUGAAAUCUCCCGGCUUAACUGGGAGGGUGCGCCGGAAACUGGAGUGCUUGAGCGCGGGAGAGGAAAGCGGAAUUCCUGGUGUAGCGGUGAAAUGCGUAGAUAUCAGGAGGAACACCAAUAGCGAAGGCAGCUCGCUGGGACGUUACUGACACUGAGGCGCGAAAGCGUGGGGAGCGAACAGG
rnacentral:rRNA from 1 species